rnacentral:rRNA from 1 species
GGAAUAUUGGUCAAUGGACGCAAGUCUGAACCAGCCAUGCCGCGUGAAGGAUGAAGGUCCUCUGGAUUGUAAACUUCUUUUAUAGGGGGCGAAAAAAGGGAAAUCUUUCUCACUUGACAGUACCCUAUGAAUAAGCACCGGCUAACUCCGUGCCAGCAGCCGCGGUAAUACGGAGGGUGCAAGCGUUAUCCGGAUUCACUGGGUUUAAAGGGUGCGUAGGCGGGCGUAUAAGUCAGUGGUGAAAUCCUGGAGCUUAACUCCAGAACUGCCAUUGAUACUAUAUGUCUUGAAUAUGGUGGAGGUAAGCGGAAUAUGUCAUGUAGCGGUGAAAUGCAUAGAUAUGACAUAGAACACCUAUUGCGAAGGCAGCUUACUACGCCUAUAUUGACGCUGAGGCACGAAAGCGUGGGGAUCAAACA